rnacentral:rRNA from 1 species
GAACGCUGGCGGCGUGCUUAACACAUGCAAGUCGAACGGUGAAGCCCUUCGGGGUGGAUCAGUGGCGAACGGGUGAGUAACACGUGAGCAACCUGCCCUUGGCUCUGGGAUAACUCCGGGAAACCGGGGCUAAUACCGGAUACGACGUGCGGAGGCAUCUUCGUGCGUGGAAAGUUUUUCGGCCAGGGAUGGGCUCGCGGCCUAUCAGCUUGUUGGUGGGGUGAAGGCCUACCAAGGCGACGACGGGUAGCCGGCCUGAGAGGGCGACCGGCCACACUGGGACUGAGACACGGCCCAGACUCCUACGGGAGGCAGCAGUGGGGAAUAUUGCGCAAUGGGCGAAAGCCUGACGCAGCGACGCCGCGUGAGGGAUGAAGGCCUUCGGGUUGUAAACCUCUUUCAGCAGGGAAGAAGCGAAAGUGACGGUACCUGCAGAAGAAGCACCGGCUAACUACGUGCCAGCAGCCGCGGUAAUACGUAGGGUGCAAGCGUUGUCCGGAAUUAUUGGGCGUAAAGAGCUCGUAGGCGGUUUGUCGCGUCUGCUGUGAAAACUCGGGGCUCAACCCCGGGCCUGCAGUGGGUACGGGCAGACUAGAGUACGGUAGGGGAGACUGGAAUUCCUGGUGUAGCGGUGAAAUGCGCAGAUAUCAGGAGGAACACCGGUGGCGAAGGCGGGUCUCUGGGCCGUAACUGACGCUGAGGAGCGAAAGCGUGGGGAGCGAACAGGAUUAGAUACCCUGGUAGUCCACGCCGUAAACGUUGGGCGCUAGGUGUGGGGCCCAUUCCACGGGUUCCGUGCCGCAGCAAACGCAUUAAGCGCCCCGCCUGGGGAGUACGGCCGCAA